UUCACUCAAAAGUCUGCUUUACAGAUCUUAGGUCUGUACAUGGCAUCUGAUAGAAUUUCUGACCCUGUCUGUGACCUCUACACUGAGAGUGAUUUAUCUUCCUAAUGCAGAGGAACAUUAAUAUGAUGCAUUCUUUGGACCCUUUUCCUAAGGAGCCGGAGCCUUGACAUGACUACAUCCCAGUCUGCAUAGGCACCUUCCAAGUGACGUGUCACUUCUGAACAUGAUGGGUAGCUUUGACGACCAUGAAGCACACGCCAGUUAUCAAAUGUCACAAUGUCUCCUAUAAAGAGAUUGCACAAAGUGCACAGCAAAAUCACAGUAGUCCACCCCAACAUCAAUGUAGUUUACAGCAGUAGAGGACAGGAUCUGAUAUGCCUCAGGAUUUUGUUUCUUCAGCUUGUUGGAUACAUGAAAUCCAUCUACAACUUCACUUUCACCUCCUGCAGCUGUUUGCUUUAUACAAUGAAGAAACUGAACCUGGAAUGAAUUAACACCUCUUUAAAAAAAUAAAUAGCUUGCAUAUUUAACAAUUUAUGAGUAUCAGUUCUAUCACAUCUGUGGGGUUUUUUUUAUUCUGGUUGGGUGGGUGUUUUGUGGUGGGGUUUUUUUGUUUGUUUGUUUUUUGGGGGUUUUUUGGGGGUUUUUUUGGGUUUUGGGGGAGUUUUUGUUUGUUUUUGUUUUGGGGGUUUUUUUUGUUUGUUUGUUUUUGUUUUGUUUUGUUUUGUUUUUGGUGUUGUUUCGGGGUUUUUUCCAGUGACAGACUGAGUUCUCAUUUUGCAGUUUCACAACACUCUGCCACUAGUAUAACAAAGGUGGGAAAUUAAAACAGCAUGUUCAUAAAUCCAUCCUCUUUCUAAUGCUUGCAACCUGUGAGUCAGUGGCAAAGAGGCCUUGCUUCUUUUGAGUCCCUCUUUCUGGCAGUCACAUAAUUUUAAAUGCAUUUCAGUCACAUCUCAACAAGGCAUAUUAGCUUUGUCCUGAAACAACACCUGAUGCAAAUUAUCCACUCAAAGAGGUGAAGAAGCUGUCAGAGAAGGCCUGUCUCUGUGAUCAAGUAUCAUUAAGACAGUUUCAUUUCACUUUAGAAUGAAUUUGCCAAGGUGUAAGAUGGAGCAAAAAGCCUAAGCUGUGCUCUGGGUUGCACUGGUGUAAAUCUGAGCUGCUGACACAUGCAGUAAAACUCCCUGUGGCUCUAGAUAUCACACAAACUGUAACUGCUCAUCCUGCAAAUGACACGAAAUACACUCGCCCUAUCAAAUGUUUGUCACCUUUGUCAUUUGGCCCUUCCAUGAUGGUGAAUUAUUUCUGAGACCACUAGGAAAAAAAAAUAACCAAACCAUACAAAAAUCCCCCUACAACAACCAAAAGUGAGCAAACAAAUGAACAAAAAAAACCCACAAAAAAACCAACCAACCAAAAAAACCCACACAACUCCCCCAGACAAACAUACAAACCCACAAAAAUCCCCCAACCAACCAACCAAAAUAAAAUAAACAAAAAAUCCCAAAACCCAAAAAACCCCCAAAAACAUCAAAAACAAAAACCCCAACAAAAAACACCCCACAAAUACAAGAAGCUCAAACAAAUAAACAACAAAACCAAAAAGGCAGACAACUCACCAACCAAAAACCCAAACCAAACAAAAAUCCCCUCAGGAUGGGAAAGAGGACUGGAACAGGGUUUGUUCUUCUUACUAGCUAAUCUGCAGACCUUGGUGAUGGUGAUGAAGGGGGAAACUGAAGAUGUGGGCAGGGAAAAUGGCCCACUGAAGAGAACACUAGGCAACAAGUUCUAUUUUUUUGUGGCCCCAGCUGGCCUUGUGCAAGGUAAGCACAGCUUGGCCCAGCCAAGAAGGGCUGCAGAAAGUUAUGUUAUGGUCCUAGGAAAUCUUAAAUCAGGAUUUUUAUGGGACAGUUCUGAAAUUAAUCAUCAUCCUUUAAGAACAUGUCUAAAAGUUUGUAAUAAAUCACAGAAUCACUAGGUUGAAACAGACCU